rnacentral:rRNA from 1 species
UGGUGGAGUGAUUUGUCUGGUUAAUUCCGUUAACGAACGAGACCUCGACCUGCUAAAUAGUUCGGCAAAGGCUUCGGCCUUUGUACGUGACUUCUUAGAGGGACUAUCGGUGUGUAGCCGAUGGAAGUUCGAGGCAAUAACA